GAUGAACGCUGACGGCGUGCCUAAUACAUGCAAGUCGAGCGAACGGACGAGAAGCUUGCUUCUCUGAUGUUAGCGGCGGACGGGUGAGUAACACGUGGAUAACCUACCUAUAAGACUGGGAUAACUUCGGGAAACCGGAGCUAAUACCGGAUAAUAUUUUGAACCGCAUGGUUCAAAAGUGAAAGACGGUCUUGCUGUCACUUAUAUAUGGAUCCGCGCUGCAUUAGCUAGUUGGUAAGGUAACGGCUUACCAAGGCAACGAUGCAUAGCCGACCUGAGAGGGUGAUCGGCCACACUGGAACUGAGACACGGUCCAGACUCCUACGGGAGGCAGCAGUAGGGAAUCUUCCGCAAUGGGCGAAAGCCUGACGGAGCAACGCCGCGUGAGUGAUGAAGGUCUUCGGAUCGUAAAACUCUGUUAUUAGGGAAGAACAUAUGUGUAAGUAACUGUGCACAUCUUGACGGUACCUAAUCAGAAAGCCACGGCUAACUACGUG
rnacentral:rRNA from 1 species